ACCUCCUAAUAUUUUGCCAAACAACAGUUGGAGGAGAAUUCGGGGACAGAGAGGAGCAAAAUUUUUGCCAACUUUCAGAUUUUUUCUUUUUGAAAACCUUCUUUCUCCUUUUUACAGCUUCCGUACACUCUUUAUCCCACCACGGUGGGCUGGGAAUGGAAGAUGAUUCAUUUUUUAUUGGAAAAACUUCAUUAGCACUUUCUAUCAAGACAUCUGUAAAAACGAGAGCAUCAAUAGAGUCAUCUUCAUUUGGAAAUAUCUGUGACAGUUUUACAUCAACUUUACUACUGAAUUUCUUCCAACAUUUAUCGGUGACAUUAUUAAGGUUAUACCUGGGAAAUAAUCUGACAUUUUGAAUAGGAGCCUGAGAAUUAUCAAAAGGAGAGGUAGUUAAUAUGGGGAAGUGAUCGCUUCCAAAAGUGGAUGAUAGAACCGAAGAUGUUAAUUGUGUUACAAACUGUGAGGAGCAAAUAGUCAAAUCAACAACGCUUUUGCCUUCUGUUGGACUAGUGCGCCUUGUGGGCUCACCAGAAUUUAUAACACAUAGAUUAUUCAGAUCUAAAACACUUAGCAGCUUGUUACCAUAACUAUUAGUAAUGGAGCUUCCCCAUGACUGGUGAUGACAAUUAAAGUCACCUGUUAUAAUUAAAGGUCUUGGUAAAGAGCUUAAAAUGUUAUUAAAUUCAUUUAAAAUAUUAAUAGAGGCAUGGGAAAUAUAUACAGAGACAAAACAUAUAUUAUUUACACUAAUUGCUAUAAUAGAUAGCUCUGAACUAUGUACAGGGAUAUCAAUAAGGCUAAAAGGGUAGUUUUUCUCAAGGAGAAAGGCUACACCACCAUAGCCGUCUAACCUAUCUUCUCUAAUUGUAUUAUAAUUCUUAAAUCUAAAAGUAUUACUUGGCCUAAGCCAAGUUUC